GGGGUGGGAGUGUCUGUGUAGAGAGGGUGGGUGGGAGAAUAGGAGUGACAAGAUGGGAAAGACUUGGAGAUGAGAAAGGUUGGCUUCCUCUGCUCAGAAUGCAUCAUCUGCUGUACUUACAGAUUACCAUCCCUCUCCAGUGUUUCCUCUACGAGAUUGGCGCUUCAGUUGGAGAUGGAUGCAUUCUGGAUAGAGGAGGAAAGUCCUAUAUCCCUGCUUGACUCUGAGGAAAAGGAGAGAACUGAAGACGAUGGGGUAGAGAAUAAUGGAUAAUGGAAGCGGUGCGAGCCAGGGAGGACAAUACAACUGGUGCAGGUGAGUGACAAAGCAGAU